rnacentral:misc_RNA from 1 species
GAAAUGCGAUAAGUAAUGUGAAUUGCAGAAUUCAGUGAAUCAUCGAAUCUUUGAACGCACAUUGCGCCCGCCAGUAUUCUGGCGGACAUGCCUGUUCGAGCGUCAUUUCAACCAUCAAGCCCCGCGCUUGUGUUGGGGACCUGCGGCUGCCGCAGGCCCUGAAAACCAGUGGCGGGCUCGCUGUCACACCGGGCGUAGUAGAUUUUAUCUCGCUCAGGGCGUGCUGCGGGUUCCGGCCGUUAAAAAGCCUUUUUUACCCAAGGUUGACCUCGGAUCAGGUAGGAAGACCCGCUGAACUUAAGC